UACGAAGGGGGCUAGCGUUGUUCGGAUUUACUGGGCGUAAAGCGCACGUAGGCGGGUUGUUAAGUCAGGGGUGAAAUCCCAGAGCUCAACUCUGGAACUGCCUUUGAUACUGUCGAUCUGGAGUAUGGAAGAGGUGAGUGGAAUUCCGAGUGUAGAGGUGAAAUUCGUAGAUAUUCGGAGGAACACCAGUGGCGAAGGCGGCUCACUGGUCCAUUACUGACGCUGAGGUGCGAAAGCGUGGGGAGCAAACAGG
rnacentral:rRNA from 1 species